CUGAAUUUGAGAGAGAAAAUUGAAUAGCCAGAGUAUUCGUCUGAGAGUACGGAAUCCAUUUCCUACUAAGGUCUAUACUCUGGAGUUCUUCUUGGAGUGAAGUAAGAACUCGUGUUAAGAUUUCCUCCUCUUUCGUCAAGAUCAGAAAGAAAACCCGCAAGGGAAGAUCCACCGCUGAUUUUGAUGAAAAAAUCGGACGAAACUCGAGAUCUGAAAAUCUUUCCGAGAACGGAGGAGAGAGAAGUCACCGGCGUGCCACGUGUCAACUAUAUAGAGGGCCGCGUGCGCCAAUCGCCUUCGAACGCGCGUCGAACGCCGCCUGGAAAACGCGGCUCCAGCCUCCUUGCGACACGCGUCCCCGGCAACGCAACCCGACCUGCGUCCGUCGACUUACCCGAUACCCGCGCGGCGAGCCAAAACGAACCGACGACCCGCGGUCCACCCGAGCCACUGCGUCCGAACCGAACCGCGACCCGCGACUGCAGAAACUCUGGGCGCGUGACACUCGCGCGUGUAACCUGCGAGUGGUUACUCUCAGGCGCGUGGCUGGCGCGUGGAAGCUUAUUUUUGGACCGACUUCUGUUUUCCCUAUUUUCCUCCUGAUCCCAAUCCUAACUCCAUUUUGUGUGAAAUAGGACCUAAUUGAGAAAAAAUCACCCCCUUUCGAUACGUCAAGUGUGUGGAAACGCUGCGUAAGGGCACGCAUCAUCCAAGUACGUGAGGCGUCGAGUCAAGAGAGGGCGCGUUGAUCGAUGUGGGUAGUCACAGAGAAAGCGUGUUCCGGGGCGUCAGUCUAGCUUAUCGAAUAGUACACUUUGUCUAUCAUGUUUCUUUUCUUAUUUUUACCUAGGCACAUAUGUCCUUUUAGUAAAGAUACGUUUUUCUUAUGAAAUGAAUGAAAUUCUUUUGAAAUAAA